rnacentral:rRNA from 1 species
AUUGAACGCUGGCGGCAUGCUUUACACAUGCAAGUCGAACGGCAGCACGGGUGCUUGCACCUGGUGGCGAGUGGCGAACGGGUGAGUAAUGCAUCGGAACGUGCCCAUGAGUGGGGGAUAGCCCGGCGAAAGCCGGAUUAAUACCGCAUACGCCCUUAGGGGGAAAGCGGGGGAUCUUCGGACCUCGCGCUAUUGGAGCGGCCGAUGUCGGAUUAGCUAGUAGGUGAGGUAAAGGCUCACCUAGGCGACGAUCCGUAGCUGGUCUGAGAGGAUGAUCAGCCACACUGGGACUGAGACACGGCCCAGACUCCUACGGGAGGCAGCAGUGGGGAAUUUUGGACAAUGGGCGCAAGCCUGAUCCAGCCAUGCCGCGUGAGUGAAGAAGGCCUCGGUUGUAAGGACUCUUCUAGUGGAAGAAAUAAGUAGCUGUUAAUAGUAUGGCGUUGAUGACGGUA